rnacentral:lncRNA from 1 species
CUGCAUUGCAUCUGACCUUUCAAAGGAUAUUUAAUUGAUUUUUCUGUGUUUAAAGGUUCCUGUGGAGCAGGAAGCAAGUUCAGUGACAAUAUACAGAUAAAAUUCAGACUGUUGUUCUGCAAGUACAAAACAAAGAAAUGAAGAUGUGUAAGACAGUGCCUACAUUCAUCCUGCUGUUUACAGGUUAUUGUGUUAAACAUGUGCGUGUUGCUGCAAUGGAGCCUGGAAGCGAACCACCAACACCACCGUUACCUGUUUCUCAUUCCACACAACAUUUUCAACAAUCAACAACACACUCAGGAAGUGCCGCUUCCUCAACAGCAGUAAGUAAUACAUCUCUAUUAGGUAGGUUGACAAUUUCAAUGUGUAUAAUUCUGCUGAAUAUUCGGGUUGUUGUUGUUUUUUUUACCCAAGUUUUGAAUUUCCAGCUUCUACUGCCAUUGGGUAUAGGGAACAAAUGCAUGUGUAGACUCACAUGCAUUACGCAAGAAAAAACCUCUGUUUCAAUGAAACCAUAUCAAAGAAACUUCUUUAAUUGCAAAUCACAAUAUUUCUCUGGAGAUUUAUUUGAGUAUUAA